GGCACUUUAGCUCAGUUGGUUAGAGCGUUCGCUUAACACUCCUUUCGAGCAGCUCCUGCUCAAAAUCACGCGAAAGGUCCCCGGUUCGAGCCCGGGAGGAGUCA